rnacentral:lncRNA from 1 species
UGUAAACAGUAAACACAAUGCAAAUGUUAUCAGCAGAAAAUGUGUCAUCAGCAUGAUGCUGCCAUUAAGCAUAUUUUCUCUGCUCCAGCUUGCUUGUGAGAAUCUGUCAGCAAGGAGAUUCAGAUUUCUGACUGUGAGAGUGAGAGCCAAAACGUUCAGCAGAAUUUACAGAGAGUAGGGUGGUAAAUGUUAGCAGUGGGAGCAGAGGAAUUACAGGUGAAAUUUGCUGUGGGAGGAGAGGUCACAUAAUGGCUGCUCUUAACACUGCUCAAGCAUGGAUGCUUCUGGAGUGAACAGAUGGCUUAAUUAAAAUGAAGCAUGAAAGUAAGCAGGGGAAAAAAAAAAAGGAUAGAGUGGAGCCCAGCAAAGAAAUCCUAAUAUUGCUGACAGAAUAACACCAUAGAAUCAGUGACUAUCCUUAGUUGGAAGAAACCCACAAGGAUCAAGUCCAAUCCCUCAAU